CGCGAUGUUGUAAAACCUAAUUGCGGAAAAUCAUCAUAAACCACAAUAAAUCGCACGAGAUGCUUUUUGCAAUCACUCAGAGGAUAAAAGGGACAUUGACCAAACAACUACAAAGCACCUUCUGAACACAUGAAAUUUAAACUAUCUAUUAAUAAUAAAUAUAUUACAUAUGGAAAAGAUUGUUUGAUUUUAUAAAAUAAAUAGUGUUAUAUGUUGCUUAUCGAAAACAUUGAAUCCGCACACACAGUUCAAAAACAUACACAUAAUUGACUUAAAAUGCUCAUUACCCACUGAACCGAUCAAAAUCCUAUUAAAAUAAUUUUCGACAUAUAUAUACAUACUCAAACUUAUGUGGAUGUACGGGUGCCGAGUUUACGGAUUAUUACAAUAAUCAAAAACUGCAAAGCUUUCACUCAAAGAUUUUACGACUUCCUGCCCCUUCUUAUGUCGAAUGCUCGGCAAGUAAUCGUUGUUUGCUGUUUUCUUCAUACCCGGAACAGAAACCACAUCAAAUCACAUUUAAAUUUUUAUUUGAGACAUAAAAAGCCUACAGGUGUGCUUGUGAAAGUCAUCAAUGCCCGAAGGUUUAACGCUUUAUCGACGUUCACAAGUUAAAACGUCAUUGGCCAUUAACUUUGAUAAAACAUGGCCACAACUUUCAAGCAGUAACAAAGUCGUAUAAUAAAAUACAAGGCAUAAAUCCUUAUUUUUCUUAUUGAUUUGAAUCAUACCUUUGCUAAUAUUUGAUGAUAGGUUUCACUGCAAUUGUCACAUCAUCAUACAAGUAGAUUAAAAAAAAUGAAAUAAAGAGA